AUGUCGGCCGGCGCCCCCCCUGCCCCCCCCACCCGCACCACCUCCACCACCACGGCCUUGCCCCAUCUCCUCCUAUCCCCACCAGGGCCUCACCCCGCCGGCCCUUAUCCCCAGCACGGCCUCGCCUCGCCCCCUCCUCUCACCACCACGGUCGUGCCUCGCCGCCAACCCCGCGGAUCUUCCUUGGAUCGACUCUGCCGCCUCCAUCCUACUGCCCAGAGGAGAUCGAGAUGUGAGUUGGUCGACACAAUUCAGGAGCAGGCAUAUCGAAUUGGAUCGAGAUCCUGUGUGUCAGCAAGUCGCUCUGGAAAGGAGUUCGCAGCUCGCAUACGUGCUCUACACGAUCAGCCUAAUCUCUAUGUCGCCGCUGUUGUCAUAACGGCUUGCAAUAGACCAGACUAUUUCCAUAGGUCAGUUCAAUCUAUCCUCAAGUACCACAAAGCAGUUGAUUCAAAGUUCCCACUAUUUAUUUGCAAGAUGGUACAAAUGGAGAAGUAA
rnacentral:rRNA from 1 species